GAGAAACAUUGCCUCAGUUGGUCAGAUGGAGGGAAUUCUACCAAGCUCACAAUAGCCACCGUGGCAUCCCACUCUCAGUCAUCUCGCAGCCUCAGCUGCAGUCACUACCGCUGCUCCUGAGAGCCCUUGCAGGGGCUUUGAGACUUCAGAGAAGACCUGCCACCUGGAGUCUCCAGCAGAAGGAGGAGAGGGAGUGUUUGCCAAAAUAAGCUCCGUGUGGAAGGUCAGAGAAGAGUCAGCCAUUUUCCUCCCUAGUCUUCAUCAAAUCUCUUAUUCUGUGCUGCUGAGAAGUAAUCCUUCCACUCUCCAACGGUCCCUGAAAAGCAAUGCAAUCGUGCUUGAGAGAUUGGACGGGAAGUCUAUUCUGAAUGCUUUUUCCAUAAAGUGAAACUUUAGAGAUAAUUAAAAAGUAUGAAUUCGUAUUACAGGUACACAUCACAGUCUAUUUUCUUUCAAAGACGU
rnacentral:lncRNA from 1 species